rnacentral:snRNA from 1 species
GGAUGUGAGGGCGAUCUGGAUGCGACAUCUGUCACCCCAUUGAUCGCCAGGGUUGAUUCCGCUGAUCUGGCUGGCUAGGCGGGUGUCCCCCUCCUCCCUCACCGAUCCAUGUGCGUCCCUCCUGAAGCUGCGCGCUUGGUCGAAGAGGACGACCCCUCCCCCGCAGAGGACCGGUCUUCGGUCAAGGGUAUACGAGUAGCUGCGCUCCCCUGCUAGAACCUCCAAACAAGCUCUCAAAAUAUUCGGUCAACCCCCCCAAACCACCAGCCAUCGGUGGGUGUGAGGAAAUCUCAUUUUCU